rnacentral:rRNA from 1 species
AGAGUUUGAUCCUGGCUCAGGAUGAACGCUGGCGGCGUGCUUAACACAUGCAAGUCGAACGAUGAAGCCCAGCUUGCUGGGUGGAUUAGUGGCGAACGGGUGAGUAACACGUGAGUAACCUGCCCUUAACUCUGGGAUAAGCCUGGGAAACUAGGUCUAAUACCGGAUAGGAGCGUCUACCGCAUGGUGGGUGUUGGAAAGAUUUAUCGGUUUUGGAUGGACUCGCGGCCUAUCAGCUUGUUGGUGAGGUAAUGGCUCACCAAGGCGACGACGGGUAGCCGGCCUGAGAGGGUGACCGGCCACACUGGGACUGAGACACGGCCCAGACUCCUACGGGAGGCAGCAGUGGGGAAUAUUGCACAAUGGGCGCAAGCCUGAUGCAGCGACGCCGCGUGAGGGAUGACGGGCUUCGGGUUGUAAACCUCUUUCAGUAGGGAAGAAGCGAAAGUGACGGUACUUGCAGAAGAGGCACCGCCUAACUACGUGCCAGCAGCCGCGGUAAU